rnacentral:rRNA from 1 species
GACGUAGGGGGCGAGCGUUGUCCGGAAUUACUGGGCGUAAAGAGCACGUAGGCGGGUGCUUAAGUCAGGUGUGAAAGACCGCAGCUUAACUGCGGGGUUGCACUUGAAACUGGGCAUCUUGAGGGCAGGAGAGGACAGUAGAAUUCCUGGUGUAGCGGUGAAAUGCGUAGAAAUCAGGAGGAAUACCAGUGGCGAAGGCGACUGUCUGGACUGACCCUGACGCUGAGGUGCGAAAGCGUGGGUAGCAAACAGGAUUAGAUACC